UUGGAUGGUUGUUUUGAAAGCUGUUACAUCCUUGUUUGAAUACAUUAUUGAGAGAGAAACUCAGAGUUUAAUGAGUAAUCUUAAGACAUAUUUGAUAGGAAGGCUCAGGAGCUCUUUUUUCUUGGCUGUAAAAGUGAAAAAUUUGUGGGACCACUUGAAAAAGCUGCAGCCCAAUUUACCAGCUUUUAAAAUCUCUCUACCUUGCUCCAGUUGCAUUAUCUGAUCUAUUGCCUCUGGCAUUUUUUCCAAAACCACUUGUUUCUCAGUAGCAGAAAUAUCUUGCCCAACUGGGAUGCAAUAAUUUCAAAGCAAGUAAAGGAAACUGCAGCUGCUCAGCUGAGUCAGCCAAAGUGGUCUGUAACUGUAAUCACAGAAGUGUGUAGAAGAUCUGAUUCAAAGCUUGCAGCGUGAGCUUUGUGUUCAUUUUCUGAGUGGAUUGAUCAAGUGGGUCAGUCGCUGUGAGUCUCCAGGUUGCACCCAAGAGCUGCCCAGCAUGGGGACGUACAACAGGGAAAGCUCAGAAGUUGGUUCUCUUCAGAGAAGUGGAAUGGAAAAGGGUUGUCGCACUCUGCAAGCCUGUGGGACAUGGUUUGGUUGUCUCGACUUGCCAUUUUACCCAUGACCUACGUUUUGGAACAGUCACAAACAAGAAGUGUUUCUUGUCAGAGUCUGGAGCAGUCAGCACAAGGAGCAGAGUGAAACUUCUGAGCCGUGGCAAAUGGUGCUGCUCCUGCUUAUUCACCUGUCUCCUUGAGCUCCAUCCGGCUGUUUUGGGAACGUUAAGUGUUGCUCAAAUAAAAAUAAAUGGCUUCAGCAUGACCGCAGAACUGACUGAGCACAUUCCCCGUGCAGGCUGUGCAGCACGUCUGUCUCCUACUCCCACAACCCCACAGCAGCUCCCCAGUUUUGGUGGCAGCAAGGCGAGCCUUUCUUCUGUCUUGCUGUGUGCUGGAAGUCUGCAAGGUGGCCACAUCAACAAGCCCACCACAGGAUCAGUGCCCCGGGUAACAGAUAUUGCUGACAGACAUGGUUUGGUCUAGAUCAUCACUCAGUACAGUUAUUCCUUGGCCUGACUCAGAUUUAGAUGUGCACACCUUGUCCUGGUCUAAAGAUUUAUCAACGUUCCCAAGCAAGCGCAGCUCCCAAGCUCACGUCGCAGCAAGGUGCACUGACUAGUGUGAAACUGGUCACUCACCCAUCUUGUCUUCAGUGGGGCUCUGGCCCUCUCACCAGCCACAGUGAUGUUUUCAGGACUGCACACUUUAUUUUCCUUGGGAGUUUUCCCAGAAAAGGAGCAUACCAGGAACUAGAUGACUCAGCUCUGGCCCCUAACAGCCAUCACUCGUGCUUCCCAGCUCGCCUGCUUGCUGCCUUUGUGAGGAGCUGCUGACCGUGCUGUCCCCCGUGCAGGGACCAGGGGCUGUCCCCAGGUGCCCGGGAAUGCGCCCACCACCCCCGGCGCUGCAGGACUUUCUGCCCAGCUCUGCGUGGCACUGCAGGACACACGGCGCCUGGCCAUGGCUCUGCAGCCUGAGCACUUAUUCCUAAUCGAUUCUGACAGCAGACACCACGAGGAAUGCUGAGAUUUAUGAAAGAGCAAGAUUUGCUACUAGCCUCUGUCCAUUAAAGAAGGAAGACGAGUCACUGAGAAAUAUUCUCUGCCCUUGGGAAAAAGCAGCAGUGAUGAUGAGCUCACCAGAGGACCCACAGUUCAAACCCAGGCAGGUUUCACUGUCAUGACCAGCCGUUACUCGAACAAUUAGAGCUCUCAUGACGUUACAGACUCCACACAUACCUCUGCAUUGAAUAAUUGUCCUUGAACAAGUUCCCGGACAUGAAUGCCGGUAUUAAUUUAGGUGUGGCCUGACAUUCAGAUCUUUUUUUCCACCCGUUUUUUCCUUUUAGGUUAUAAAAGACUGGCCCUCCUGCGCGCAUAUGGAAGCCAAGGACUGUGCUCUUCAGUUCUCAUGCUCUGAUGCACUUCCAGGCUUGCAACACCACCUCCCCCAACUUCUUCCAAAGAGCAGUUCUGCUUUUUGUGGGAUGAUUAUGUAUUAUUCCCCAAUCCACAGGCUACUACAGCUGGCAUUAAGGAGAUGGACAUUUUACAAAGAUAUUACCACCUUUGGGUCCCCAUGUCUCGCACCUAGUGAGAUGCAAGUGGCACAAAUCCCUCACUAUUACUGGCAGUCCUAGAAAAAGCAACUUUUGACCAUCUGAGAAACUGAAAAUCCCUUCCUGCCCUCCUAGAAGAGGACUCAGGUACAAGGAAAGAGCAGAAUUUUAAAUUAAAAAUGUGCACAGGAGCUAUAGAAAAACAGAGGUCAGCUGUGGAACACAUCUGUUACCAUCAUUUUGUCCAAACCCAAAGAGGGAAAGACUGCUCCCCCUCCUAUGAGGUAAGCUUAUGCAGCACGAUAUAGGGCUGCAGGGGUAGUUAGGUAUGUGCCAUCAUGGGAAAGCAGGUGCCUGCGACCUCAUGGCUGUAGGAGGAUGAUGCAGCUCUCCCUGGGCAGGGGCAGACACCAGUGCCUUGCUCACAGUGAGAAGUGGCAUCCACGUCCAUGCUGCAGCUAUCAAGGCUGUCCCUGUCUCACAUCACUUACACUAAGAUCUUGUCCAGGUUUUUUAUUUUCUAGUUACCUGCACCAAAAAGAGAGGACUGUAGUGUGUGCCACCAUGGUCCAUCCCCUCUCCCUUGCGCAGUGGGGAGUGAGUUGUGGGGCCAAGGUCUGUUGGCCACACUCUGCCAGGAGAGCAGGACAUGUGGGCAUGGUGUGGAGCGCUGGGGCGGCUCCAUCUCUGAAACGGGUCACUGCUCCGCUGCCAGGCAAGGGCGAGAACAGCCCCUCCCUAUGGAGGAGGUCUGCUGUCUGGGCGCAGCCUGCGGCAUUGCUGCAGGACAUUACUGCCUUUCACUCCCCGAGCCCUGCUGAGCCCAGGCAGCAGCUGUCUGGGUCCCAAGUACCAAUGGUGACACCUUUCCAAAGCUAUGACAUGGACUAGCGUGUGCAGUUGUCACCAAGACUGUAACAUGACAAUACAGGGCUGAUGUCUCACGUGGCCAUGGGACAUUUCCAUGGGGGUGAAUACAAAAGCAGGAGCCCAGCUGGAGCUCUGCCCUGCAGCUGGAGCACGCAGAGGCUUCAUCGGUGCUGAACACCCUACAUCCAGGAGUAAUCAAUGCCCAAAAUACCAACAGCCGCCCAGAAAAGUGACUGUCAGAGACACUUCGCAACAUGUGUAAGCUUUAAAAAAAAAAAAGUUUUUCAUGUUCAGUAUCUCUGAAAAAGGAAUCAGGCCACUUCUAUUUAGGAAACUCAUUUCAAGCACCCUAACACAGAUACUUUAGUCUUGGUCUGUAGGAGAUGUGAGUCUCAGCUGUGGCAUGAUCAAAGGAAGUAAACCACUGCUCUUGGGCUCGCUGUUCAGGCUGCCUCGUAAUCUAUAUAUACCUCACCAGCAAAGCUAGAGUAUUAUCAUCCAAUAUCAAAAAAUAUUUCAUAGUAAUGUGGUGUGCAAUUGAGGAACUCAAGAAAUGUCCCCACAGUGCUAUCUCAUAGAUGCCUAGACUGUGUGGAGAUUAUUUAGUUAUUAAGGUUUUAAUUAAACCCUUACAUGCACAAACACGUGGCUAAGGACUGCCUACAUCUCAACAGCAAGGCCUACAUCUCAACAGCAAGGCAUUAAGAUGAAUACAGGAUUUUUCUUUUUAAAGCUGAAAAUCAUCAACAAACACAAUUAACUCAGGUAACUAAAGGAGUAGCUUGUGAAAUUGCAAAAAUAUACUAGAAGCUGCUAAAGCACAGGUUCCUGGCCAGCACAUGGGACAGGCAAUCACCAGCCCCAAAUGUUCUUGCUGCCCUGAGGCAGCAAUGCAGGAGCUCACAAGCUCGUACUUGUGUUCCCUGCCCCAGGAGCCAGCCCUGCAGAGCUGAGGAGCAAGAAGGGCCUGCCCCUGGAGACCUGCAGGCAGGAGAAGCAAUCCCCUUCCUGCGCUGAGAGGGCGAGGGCAGCAGGAGCCCUGCCUGUGCUGGUGCCAACCCUGCCAGACUUCCCAGCCUCCGUGCCAGCCUGGGAGCAAACAGGGCUGUGACUGCCAUUCUCCAGCCUCGGUGACCUCCCUCCUCCAGCAGGUCCCACCACUCCCUUAAAAACAGACAGUCAGUUCACAAAUACGUUAUGUUCUUCAGUUUUAGCAAGGAUAAAACCCUAACAACAAUUCUACCCACACCAGCAAGAGAAAACAGCUUGCGGACUGGGAAGGCUGAAGGUAAACCCCCAUUUUCUGUCUGUCUCUGAGCCUGACACGCUAUGUGGUACCUGAAGUCAAACUGCUUUUUCACAAAUUGCAGUCCCUGGCACAACAGGCCCAUGCUUCCAGUCAGCACAUCCCCUUUUCCAAGCUGUCAGAUGGCUCUUCUCACUUCUGGGACAUGGCACAGCUGUGAAAGCGCCAGCCCAGGAUGGUCCCAUGUGCUAUCACCAUCCCCUGUGCCCAGGGAUGGCAAGGGCAGCCCGGCAGCAGCCGACCCUCCUGGCAGCCACACGCAGCUCACAGGUGCUGAGUUUGUGCCAAUUCCACACCUGCCCACCACUGUGGUGAAGAUCUCGCCUUGGGUAUUUAUUAUGCUCAAACCCGAGGGUAGUGAGAACCCAUUUUUCCCUGCCAGGGCUGAACUUUCAAUGAACAGGACUCGAGUUUGAGGAGAUGCUGCCAGGUACUCAAAAAGAAAGGUGUACUUUUGUAAGGGGGGAAUCCCCCUGGAAAUGCUGAGGAACUCAACCUGGAGAAACGGACUCUUGUAGCUCAAGUGCUCUUACAACUGACACUGAAGGGCUGCAAAGGACACCAGGUGAGGGUUGUUUCUGUUCUGAAUGGAAAGCAGUAUUAGGCAUAACUGCAUGCAGUAGCCGUGUGCCUGCUUACCCAAAAUCAUUCCUACACCAGUUUUACCUUUAUGUACUAGUUUUAAUUUAAAUCUCAAUGCAGAACUGUGAAUCAAAGCAACAGUCCAAAUGUUUUGUCUUUUCCUUUUGUAGAAAUCACCAUUGUUUUUAACUUACAUUCUCUUCUUAAUUUGACAGCAGAACUUGAGUUCAGAGUCUGUUAGCAGAACCUCAGCAGUCAAAUAAAACAUUUUUAAAAAAUUAUUUUAAAGCGAUUAUUCUUACUGAACACCAAAUACAAGUUUCCUUUUUUCAUAUUGAUUCAGUGUUAUUCUGCUAUAGGACUUCACGAAGCUGGAGCAGAGACACAGAACUUCAGAAUUCUCUUCCCUCUGAACAUAAGCAGACCAGAAAUAUAAUUUCCAGUAAUUUCUCUGUUUAGUUAACCCAAACCCUUUUCAUCAUAGGGGGUAUUGUUCAUAAACAAGCAGGACUUAGUGUCCUCAAUUCUGCUUUUACUGCAGUAGUGGAAGUCUUGACUUUCACUUAAUAAAUUGCUACAUUUGUAGGUGCAAACAAACGGAAUGUGGUCUUGACCACUAGGAAAUGUGAUCGACCCGGAUUUGAGAACAGAGAGUUUCUAUCCAGAGACUUGAAAUCAGGAGUACACAGUUACUUGCAAACUAUAGGUAGUUACAAGAAAACAUUUCAUUUAUAUUUUGAAUAUUCAUUUGACGCUCUGUUAUUGUAAGCUUAUUUAUCACUACAUAGAUUUACAAUUUUGCUUUUAAAUUAUUUAUAUGCACAUGGCUAAAAGGGAAAGUCUAAGCAGAACAAUAACAAAUUGUUCUGUUCGUGUAUAGUGAAUUACUCUCUAGCAUCACUCAUCCUUCUUUUCGAUUUACAACAUAAUAAUGUUUUACUGUAGUUUUCUAUUUAAUAAUUUGUUUUGUGAAGCAUUCAUCAAAGUUUGACUUAAAACAGUUCAUUCAAUUGAAAACAGACAUUAACUAACCAAGUGACUUGUGACACUUGGAAAAAAUGGGAUGAUUCUUUUACAAGCUGUAUUUAACCAAUGGCCAAAACCCCACAGUUUCCAGCAGUUUCCUAUUUUAAUUCCUAGAAAGAAUCUGAGAAGUCCCUUGAUGUCUCUUUCUGAGAUGGUGGUAAAAUGCAGUGGCCCAUAUAAUAAAAAGCUGAAAGACAUCAGUAGCCUAUUUUCCUUGAAAGAUGAGAUAACGCCUAAAAUCUGACUGCCUAUUCACGACGGAGCUGGGACCCCAGCUGGCAGCAUCGCGAGACGUUUCUCUGUACUGGCUUUUAUGCGGUGACCUGUUGGCCUCAGCCCGUUUCCUUACAGAAUGAUGUUCAAUUAAAACUCUCAAACCUGGCAUUUCAUUAAGAGGUGAGGGAUCAAACUGACCGUAUAGAUUGAUUUAUUCUCUCAGUCCAGAAACUUUAGACUGUGCUAGAGACAUAUUCGUGGAGAAGCUGCUCCUACUAUCUUGUAUCUAUGGAAAAAAUCGGGUUUUAUAUGGGUUGUUGGUCAAGGAUCAUUACAGGCAAUAACCUACUAGAUAAAACAAAUUCUCUCACUGAAACACGUUUGGAGCACUUCCACUGAAUUGAAGGGAAUGUACCAAACUUGAGAUCUAAGAGCUUCUUAGAAGUUUUUAAUUAAAAAGACACCAUUACUAAAGUCACUAUACACUUACUGAACUGAAGAGAUAAUAAUAAUAAUAAGCUACACCACAUUAGAAUUACUCCACGGUCUGAGAUGUGAUCUUAUAAGCUGCAUAUAUCCUUCUUCCACUUCAAUACUUACAGCAAUCCACAUACUCCAUUUUUGCUGUCAGGGUUUCUUAAAGGCUGGUACCUGGUCCCUUAAACUUCCUGCUCCUCACCAAGGGCUAAGUCUCCAGGAUGCUGUGCGGACGUGCAUCCAGAGCCUGGCCUAACUUUAGCACACCCUCCCAGCUAAACCCUAGCACACCGCAUGUAACGUGAGGUGCUCUCGUUAAAAGCAGUAUGUGGGACCGUGGAAAUUUAUGCAACAAUACUAAACUAUGGGGUCCCCAUUGCUCCUGACUUUCAGCCGGCUGUGGAUCGUCAUGCCUAGGCACAACUAGGAAUGGCUCCUGAGCUCUUUUGGUGUUGCUAAUUUUGGCAAUGGUGACUUCCCACAUAUUUAUAAGCAACUGCAUGGGAUGUGCUCAGCACUGAACCUGCCUAGACGGCACAAUGACAAAAUUAGUUUUCUACCCGCUACACAUUUUUAUUUAUGAUUUGCUGAAUUUUGGAACAGCUUUCCAUAACUCAUCUCAAAAAAAUGCCUCAUAGAAGUCAGCACAUGUAUUUAUUUCUACACAACCAUGUAUAAGUUAGUGAUCCUGCUUCCUUCAUCCAUGCCAUCAAGGUUUUUUUAAGAUUUUAAGUAAAUCUUCUCAUGCAGCUGGGUCAAACUCUCAGCUUUGCCCUCCACACCCUUCUUCUUGAAAAUGCCCACAUUUCACUUAUCCACAUUGUAGCCUCAAAUUCUCUAGGAAACUGAAACUAGUUUUACUGGCCAGAAGACACUGGCCAGAGUUUUGUAAAACUCAUCAUUUUAGGUCUUCUCAAAUACACCUGAGUUUCACCGUUUGUCUACCUUCUCUCGUAAGAUAUCCACUGCUAUGCUCAGGCCUACAUUUAGAAGUGAAUUGCCAAAAUACCGCGUAACAAGGGUAACAGAAAGCCACUCCUCGCUGGAAGUCAAUCUGUGUGAGUGCCUGUGGGAUAGGGCAGACGCAGGAAUUGGUUGAGGAGUUGGGUAUAUGUUACUUAAGGCAUUUGCAAUUACUGAGGUGGAUUUCUGAUCACAUUAGAGCUCAUUUCAACUGAGACUCAUUAAGGCCAAAUUGUUCUCAAAAUAUUAGGACUGACAAUCCCUUCCAAACAUGCAUAUGGUACACAGAUCAGUCAAGUGCUCAAUUAUCCUCUGUGGAGGCUCUUCCCUUUUUCUCCUAGAUUGUAAGGACAUUAUUAGACAUAAGCUACAGGAUUAGAUGGACAAUUGAUCUGAUCCAGCUCAACAGUUGCUGUGGGUCUGUGCAGCAAGACAUUUUUGUAUUAAACACAGCUACUAAGGAACAGAAAGAGGGAUAGUUAAGCUAGUGGAUUUGAUGAAUGUAUGGAAGUGCAUAUUAGGCAGAGAGCAAGAAAUAUUUCUACCUUUAUGAAAAAUAUUUCCACUUUUUAGGUUACCAGAAAAAUAUGCAGUUUCAUUGUCAAUAGGCUGGUAAAAACUCAUCUCCCACUAAAAUUAUAAGAAGUAGGGACACACAAUACGGGGAACAAUUGGAACAUUUUCCCUCAAUAUCCCCACUUGCCUUCUGUGGUAGCCGAACACGUAUGGAGCGGUCAGCAGCCUUACUGAAAGCCUCACUCCACUUCUAGGCACCACAUCUGGCUAUGAAAACUGCUGUAUGGAGAGAAGGUGGUGCCCCCAGAAAGCCUGGCAGAGCAGCAGCCGAGCAGAUUCACGUGGAGCUGGGCCCUUGAAGGGCUGCUCUUGGGAUCUGUCCUCAACAAACCACCCAACCUCUCCAAAUAUCCACUCUUGGGAGAAAGUCAGGACAAACUUCAACAAAACACCAGUACAUGCUUCAAGAAAACACCAACGCUAAUUCAUAACAACCUCCAAAAGGAAACACUGCUAUAAACAGGUUCAAUGUAGAAUAAGAACAUAUCGUGAAUACUUAAGAUUACACAGCUUAAAUACUUUACAGUGGUCUGCAUUUAAAUAAGCCAGUAACUUUCCUCUUUUGAGACCUGCAGCUGGUCUCUACUUUGUAGUACAUUCCCAUACAGAUUCUGCUUUGGUAUCUGUGAGAUGAUCUCUCCUCACCAAGUAUCUUAUUAAAGAGACCCAAAUCGUGCAACUAUGGAUUUGUUUCAUUUCCAGAAUUUUCUGCAGUUUGAUGAUCUAAAACUAAAUUAACAAACCAAACACCAUUCAUUCAUUCCUUGACACUUGAAUAAUGAGAGAUACAAAAUUCUUUGUUAUGUGAUAUGGUGGAAAAUGAACUUCAAACUACACCAUAUAGCAAAAUAACUACAUUAGUGGGAGUUCAGGUGGCAAAUGAGCAUCCAGCCCUACCUCUCCUUCUUCAGUACUACUAUGUGAGCAAGUCCACAGCAUAGUGAUACACACAAAUAGCAAGAAGCACAACUCUAACAAAAUCUUGAGGCAAUGAAGAAUACUGGUAGCAGGCUUUCAGUUACUGAGCGUUGAAGUGAGUCCGGGCUGUAUUCUCAAGCUUUUCAUUGUAAGCAGGAGGACUAAAAAGCCACGUUGCAAAAAGCAGGCAAGCUAGAUAUGGUCACACAAUUCCGUAAGUCGACACUUUAGGAAAAGACUUGCAGUAAAAGUCACACUGGACAGACCCACAGGUUUCAUGUUCUGUGACUGAUACAAGUUGUAAAUAUUUGCCACCCAAAAGUAAAGAACAAGACACUGUAGUUCUCACUUCACUGUCUUUUAGAGUAUUUUUGACUUGAUCAGGAUUAGGAGCAAGCUGCCAAUGUAGUUGUAAUUAUCACUCCAAUCAGAAUUACUGAAGUAAAGCAGAUUCGAGUGCAGGUUAUCUAAGGAUUUUUUUGAAAAAUAACCUUAUCCUGCCCAUACUUAAAGAGCAGAGCUAAAUGCAUUAGCAGGAUAUAUGGUGACACAAGGAAAACAGCUGUAUUCAGAGCAUGUGCCUGAAAAAAAAAAGAGCUUGUGAUUUACAUAAAGAAAGGAUCACCUUUCUGCUAUAAACAAACAGUGACAUUCUGGGAGUGACCCACAAAUAUACAGACCCUCCAAACCUCCCCAGUGAUUGACAUUUGCUAGAUAUUAGCUAACUAAAGACAUUGCUGUGCCCUAGAUCUAAGGGAGGCCAGCCUUUACAGAAUAAGCCAGCAAGGGGUUAUUUGGAAAAACCGUGGACAUGGGAUUUUUCUCAGUGCUCUCUUUACAUGUGAAAUCUCCAGCUCCCUGGCGUGAGAGGGA